GCAUCGGUGGUUCAGUGGUAGAAUUCUCGCCUGCCACGCGGGAGGCCCGGGUUCAAUUCCCGGCCGAUGCA
rfam:Branchiostoma floridae genomic scaffold BRAFLscaffold_182, whole genome shotgun sequence.